CCGUUCGGUGCCACUGCUCCGUAUCUGGCGCAUGCGUAGUUCUAUAGUUUGGCGUUGCCAGUGAAGAGGAAAGAUGGAGAACUACACGCUCGAAAACCGCCUCGGAAAAGGAGCACAAGGACAAGUUUUCUUGGCAAAGGACAAGUCUGAUAACAACAAAAAAUAUGUGUUGAAAAAGGUUGAAUGUAAUGAUGAGACUGAAGCCACCAAAGCUUUCAAGGAGGUAAGAUUUUUUUGAAUGUUUGCUUUUUAAAGGUCAAUCAUUUUUUUUUUUUUUGGGGGGGGGGGGGCAAGGAGGCAUGUGCUCCCCUUUUUGUCUCACCUGCAUAGCAGAGUGAGACUAUAGGCGCCGCUUUUCCGGCGGCGGCGGCGUCAACACCAAAUCUUAACCGAAGGUUAAGUUUUUGAAAUGACAGCAUAACUUAGAAAGUAUAUGGACUUAGUUCAUGAAACUUGGCCAUAAGGUCAAUCAAGUAUUACUGAGCAUCCUGCCUGAGUUUCAUGUCACAUGACUAAGGUCAAAGGUCAUUUAGGGUCAAUGAACUUAGACCAUGUUGGGGGAAUCAACAUCAAAAUCUUAACCUUAGGUUAAGUUUUUGAAAUGUCAUCAUAACUUAGAAAAUAUAUGGACCUAGUUUAUGAAACUUGGACAUAAGGUUAAUCAAGUAUUACUAAACAUCCUGCAUGAGUUUCAUGUCACAUGACCAAGGUCAAAGGUCAUUAAGGGUCAAUGAACUUAGACCAUGUUGGGGGAAUCGACAUCAAAAUCUGAACCUAAGGUUAAGUUUUUGAAAUGUCAUCAUAACUUAGAAAAUAUAUGGACCUAGUUUAUGAAACUUGGACAUAAGGUUAAUCAAGUAUUACUGAACAUCCUUCAUGAGUUUCACGUCACAUGACCAAGGUCAAAGGUCAUUUAGGGUCAAUGAACUUUGGCCAAAUUGGGGGUAUCUGUUGAAUUACCAUCAUAACUUUGAAAGUUUAUGGAACUGAUUCAUGAAACUUGGACAUAAUAGUAGUCAAGUAUCACUGAACAUCCUGUGCAAGUUUCAGGUCACAUGAUUAAGGUCAACGGUCAUUUAGGGUCAAUGAACUUAGGCCAAAUUGGGGGUAUUUGUUGAAUUACCAUCAUAACUUUGAAAGUAUAUUGGUCUAGUUCAUAAAACUUGGACAUAAGAGUAAUCAAGUAUCACUGAACAUCCUGUGUGCAUUUCAGGUCACAUGACCAAGGUCAAAGGUCAAUGAACUUUGGCCGUAAUGGGGGUAUCUGUUGCAUUACCAUCAUAACUUUGAAAGUUUAUGGAUCUGACUCAUGAAACUUGGACAUAAGAGUAAUCAAGUAUCACUGAACAUCCUGUGCGAGUUUCAGGUCACAUGACCAAGGUCAAAGGUCAAUGGAUAUUGGCCAUGUUGGGGGUAUUUGUUGAAUUACCAUCAUAACUCUGUAAGUAUAUUGGUCUAGUUCAUAAAACUUGGACAUAAGAGUCGUCAAGUAUCACUGAACAUCUCAUGCGAGUUUCAGGUCACAUGACCAAAGUCAAAGGUCAUUUAAGGUCAUUGAACUUUGGCCAUUUUAGAGGUACAUGUAGUUAUUAGAUUGCUGUCAUAACUUUCAAAGGUUAUAUAUAUAUAUAGUGUAUAAAAUGUGGAUAUAGGGGUAAUCAAGUAACACUGACAAGUCCAAUGUCAAUGAACGUACAGUAUUGUAUCAUUAUAUGAAUGGUGUUUUUUGUGAAUAAUUAGUUAAAUGGUGUUUUUCAAAGUCAGCACUGCUGCUAUAUUGCAUCGCGUGAUGCAGGUGAGACCGCGAGAGGCAUUCCACUUGUUUAAUUUAUGCAAGAUUUUAUGGAACUUGUUUUUAAAUUGUAAUUGAUUUAAUUUGUAUGUUUUUGCUUGUCAAACAUUGCACUGUAAAAUACUCCCCCUGAUUGGUGGUGAUGAUAUUGUAACAAAAUUUGGGGUUCAAAAUUAAACAUAUUCAAGCAGAAAUGGCUCUGCUUAAUUAUAAAAUAAGUAUGAACAUCGUUUUAGAAUAUAAAGGUGGUUGUAAUACUGAGCAACCCCUGUUCAGUAAUAUUUUUUCACACAUGACGAAAACCUCCAUUUGAGAACGCUAUACCCCAGUUUCCCUUCUAAUCAAUUCUCUUCUCCAAGUACGACAAACCCUAACUGCCCCAAGCAAGCAAUUUAAGUAUCAAAACACCUGUUUCUUGACGUCGGUCCGAAGAUAACACAACAGCCCGGCAUAUACAGUCACAGCAGGGGGCCACACACGAUGGGAUGCAUGCGCAGCGCUGAGCGCGGUCCCUGCAAAGCAUGCCGUCAUUUUUAUUCGCUUACUUAUUUCGAGGUCGAUUUUCUUCGUUCGAAAUUGAAAAUGGACUAACAUUGGAUUACUGAAUACAAUAUGCCUUUGAAAACGUGAUUAAAUAUCGAAUACAAUAAUUUCAUUCCGAAGGUCCUACUACAGGCAGAGAAGUCUUACGUAAUAGCACAGCUGUUGUUUAUCUUUUCGUCCUUUACUCAACGCUCAUAUACUAGCCUGUGGAGGUGAAAUUGAGACAGGGGGGAUUACCCCGGGAUUACCUGGCCAAGCACGGUUGAUAAGGGCUUGGAAAUGAUUUUUGGGAGAUCCAAAUGAAAAAUGGGGUAUAAUACCGCAGUUUGCAAUCUGAACUGCGGUCUUUCUCCAAACGGGGGUUUGACGUAAUGUUUUAUGGUUGUCUUUUCAUCCAACUUGGUAUCCAACUUUGGGAUAAUGAGGUCAAAGGUCACGAAGGGCAUUAUUUGAAAUGAGAAUUCCUGCUCUAACCUGGUAAUCAUGAGAUACAUGUAGAUAAUAAGUUCAAAAUAUUAAUCCUGAUUGCCUAGUAUGAGUGCAAGAAAUGUAGUAUAUGCUUUUCACACUGCACUUUUUUUUCCUUAACACUGGGAAAUUAGUGGGGUUAAAGGGGGGUCUUAGCCCCACCAAUUUCCUGGGGCUAAGCUUGGCCCACUUCGUUUUCACACUACGUUUAAGCAAGGUUGGCUAGCAUGGUAAAUGGUGCAGUACUAUCUGGCCCUGCAAAAAAGCAGGGUUAGCCGGCCUAUUUUGGUGCUAGCACCACAAUUGCGGUGCUAAGAGAUGCAGUGAACAAAACUGGGCUAAGGAAAAGUGGGGCUAAGCAUUGGCCAAUCACAGAAGUCCAAAUUGCCUGUUAAUCGCGCUCUGUAUGGUAAAAUCAUUUAAAAAUAUUCAUGAGCUGUGUGAUGGUCCGAGGUGAAAGCGGUAACCCUGGCUAUUAGUAAAUAGUAUGGCCCGUAUUCUGGUUUAACUUAGACUCAGGUUUAAAGUUGUGGUUUAAGUAUGGGAAGCCAAAAGUAUCAUUUUUUUAUUAAGUUGUACGUUUCUUAUGUUUACUGUAAUGUUGUAACCCGCAAGUGAAAACCCGAACCGUACCGUCCCGUAUAAUCCAAUAAUUUGCAAGCGGGACCCGCUGACCCGUCGGGUUUUAACCCGCAAGUAAAUUUAUCUUUGAAAAAUAAAAAAAAAUUCUGCAAUCCCCACACUACCGUAUACAAAUCACGAAAAUAUAUGCCAACUACUAACCUAGCCUAGAGUGAAUUUACUUACAAUUUGCAAAUUCGCCUUUUAUUCCGGAGAGAAAAUGUUUUUGGGGGUUACUUUGUACCCGAAAUGGGUCGGCUCUGAUCUCGUAAUCGAAAGCAUUGCGCAAUUAACCCCUCGGAUCGGAGCCGCAGCUCAGCGCGCGCUAGCUACAUGUAGCCCAGGCUGCCCAGCAAAUUCGAUGUUCAGUUUCCCGUCGCCCGCCCGCGUUAUGAAAUUUGGACCGCGUUUAAAAAUCAAAUUCUGAAAAUAAUUCAUUAUUUUACUAUUUUGACAUAGAUCUAGAUUCAGAACUGAUAUAAAACAUUAAUAUAAGCUUUUCAGUCACAAUUACUUGUAUAUCAAUAUCAUGUAAAUACCUGUAAUUCUUUUCUUGUUUUUUUCUUGUGAAUGGAAUGACACUGC